rnacentral:rRNA from 1 species
GAUGAACGCUGGCGGCGUGCUUAACACAUGCAAGUCGAACGGAAAGGCCCAAGCUUGCUUGGGUACUCGAGUGGCGAACGGGUGAGUAACACGUGGGUGAUCUGCCCUGCACUUCGGGAUAAGCCUGGGAAACUGGGUCUAAUACCGGAUAGGACCACACUCUGGAUGGUGUGGUGGAAAGUUUUUCGGUGUGGGAUGAGCUCGCGGCCUAUCAGCUUGUUGGUGGGGUAAUGGCCUACCAAGGCGUCGACGGGUAGCCGGCCUGAGAGGGUGUACGGCCACAUUGGGACUGAGAUACGGCCCAGACUCCUACGGGAGGCAGCAGUGGGGAAUAUUGCACAAUGGGCGGAAGCCUGAUGCAGCGACGCCGCGUGGGGGAUGACGGCCUUCGGGUUGUAAACUCCUUUCGCUAGGGACGAAGCGUAAGUGACGGUACCUGGAGAAGAAGCACCGGCUAACUACGUG